rnacentral:rRNA from 1 species
GUUGUAUGGUUAAGUGACUAAGCGUACACGGUGGAUGCCUAGGCAGUCAGAGGCGAUGAAGGACGUACUAACUUGCGAUAAGUGUAGAUGAGGCAGUAAGAGCCACUUGAGUCUACGAUUUCCGAAUGGGGAAACCCAACUGCAUAAGCAGUUAUCUCAAUGUGAAUU